rnacentral:rRNA from 1 species
UGUGAGGGUUGCUGGAGGUAUCAGAAGUGCGAAUGCUGACAUAAGUAACGAUAAAGCGGGUGAAAAGCCCGCUCGCCGGAAGACCAAGGGUUCCUGUCCAACGUUAAUCGGGGCAGGGUGAGUCGACCCCUAAGGCGAGGCCGAAAGGCGUAGUCGAUGGGAAACGGGUUAAUAUUCCCGUACUUGGUGUUACUGCGAAGGGGGGACGGAGAAGGCUAUGUUGGCCGGGCGACGGUUGUCCCGGUUUAAGCGUGUAGGUGUGUGUUCCAGGUAAAUCCGGUUCACUUUAACACUGAGGCGUGACGACGAGGCACUACGGUGCUGAAGCAACAAAUGCCCUGCUUCCAGGAAAAGCCUCUAAGCAUCAGGUAACAUCAAAUCGUACCCCAAACCGACACAGGUGGUCAGGUAGAGAAUACCAAGGCGCUUGAGAGAACUCGGGUGAAGGAACUAGGCAAAAUGGUGCCGUAACUUCGGGAGAAGGCACGCUGACACGUAGGUGAAGUGAUUUACUCAUGGAGCUGAAGUCAGUCGAAGAUACCAGCUGGCUGCAACUGUUUAUUAAAAACACAGCACUGUGCAAACACGAAAGUGGACGUAUACGGUGUGACGCCUGCCCGGUGCCGGAAGGUUAAUUGAUGGGGUCAGCGCAAGCGAAGCUCCUGAUCGAAGCCCCGGUAAACGGCGGCCGUAACUAUAACGGUCCUAAGGUAGCGAAAUUCCUUGUCGGGUAAGUUCCGACCUGCACGAAUGGCGUAAUGAUGGCCAGGCUGUCUCCACCCGAGACUCAGUGAAAUUGAACUCGCUGUGAAGAUGCAGUGUACCCGCGGCAAGACGGAAAGACCCCGUGAACCUUUACUAUAGCUUGACACUGAACAUUGAGCCUUGAUGUGUAGGAUAGGUGGGAGGCUUUGAAGUGUGGACGCCAGUCUGCAUGGAGCCGACCUUGAAAUACCACCCUUUAAUGUUU